AGUGAGUCAGGCCCGCCUCCCCGCGCUUUCGGCGUUCUCUUAAACAUUUGUUAGGUCCUUACGGCGUACUUGCCUGUGCUUCGGUCCUUCGAGUCUGGAACUUGCGGGCUCCUCACUGUCCUGUCUGGGCGGGACAAUGGGCUCGGUGGUCCUUCCGGCUGCUGGCCCUCACUCGAUCCGCCUAGGCAGCUGUCCCGGACAGUCCAGCCGACACCAUCUUAGUUAGCUGCCUGAAAAAGCCCCACCCCCGUGCGCGAGAAAACGCCUGCCCCGGUCUGUGCGGCCCGCUGGGGCGGUGAGUUCAGGGUUCACAGAGCCUCGGGUCACGCUGACGCCCUGGGCGGUACCGAGUCACUGCCCGCCCGCGGACACAGGGAACAGCGCCGCGGAGCCCUGGCCAGUCUCAGUGGCCGCCUUAGGGCCCGCAGUGUCCUGCAAGCCCACUUACUGGUCCGACCUGCAGGACCACUUGCAGAUUUUUGCUUCCUGCUUUAUGUUGUGAAUCCCUGUAAGGUUUGCAUUUAUAAAAGAUGUGUGAGAC
rnacentral:lncRNA from 1 species